ACCUCUGCUCUCCUAUUUGGUCUGUUGGUUUUUUGGAAGGAGACUACCUCAUUUGGGAACCUCUGUCGCCCAUCAGAGGGCCCUGUGAUUUUUGAAAUCAUCAUGGCAGAAGUUGCAUUUGAAGAGGGACAGUUCUACCUCAGCUGCAAAUUGCCCCAGAGCUGCUACGCUAUGCCAGUUUGACCUGCCUUGCCAUGCCUGUGUUUCUUCAUCCACACCAGAGCUGUUCCAAGCUCUGGUCUCAUCCCCCCCCCUUCCCUCCUGCGCCCCCCUGAAGUGGGUGAUUGGUGCCAGGCAAUGAGAAGCAGCCUCGGCCCCCUGCCUGCACCUGAGCGGAUGGUGUAAUCACAGAGACGUCCAGAGGACGGGAAUCAGAGAGUAGAGCAAAGCUGAGCUGGAGCUCUGCCGGCUACUUAGCGCAGCUUGCUUUCUUCAAGAGCAGGAGCUGGACGGGAGAGUUGCUAGCUGAAUAGCCUCCGUGCCUCACAGGCGGUGAGAAGCUCUCUUGUCAGUGACCCACCUGCCCGUGAACCAGACACGGACACGACGAGAGAAAAGCAGGCUUGCUCUCGGAGCGGAGAGAGAGAGCGGGGGAGCAGCACGUCUAUAAAACAUCUCUCUCUCUCUC